UACGGAGGAUCCGAGCGUUAUCCGGAUUUAUUGGGUUUAAAGGGUGCGCAGGCGGGAGAUUAAGUCGGCGGUGAAAUUUUGCAGCUCAACUGUAAAAGUGCCUUCGAAACUGGUUUCCUUGAGUGUAGAUGAAGUAGGCGGAAUUUGUGGUGUAGCGGUGAAAUGCAUAGAUAUCACGAGGAACUCCGAUUGCGCAGGCAGCUUACUAAACUACUACUGACGCUCAGGCACGAAGGCGUGGGGAUCAAACAGGAUUAGAUACUCCCGUA
rnacentral:rRNA from 1 species